CUUUACAGUAGCUGUAUGGAGGUCUUGAUAUUUAGGUCUGGCAGAUGGUCUUACUCUGAAUGUCACACUCAUGCUUUACCUAAUACGAAGACUUUUAUGUGUGAUGUUUGCACAAGAGCUCUUUUUGCAUUCACUCGGGACAUUUCUCUGCAGUUUGUUUCCUGUAUGCUUCAGCCUUGAUUCAUCCCAGACAAAGGACCUGGCCAAAACCUCCUGAGGAAUUAGUCACUAUUCCUGGAAGCUGCUGUCUGUUAUAUUCUUUUAUUCCCAGGUGAGCUGUGCUGUCAUUGAGCCAAAUCGAUAGACUUACCAUUAAAGGAGGAAAUCACUUUGUGCUUGGAAUGACUGUUAAAGGUGGUCAUCUCCUGAAGAUUUUUUCAUUAUGGGACUUGAUCCAAAUCUGUUAUCUAACAACUGCUUUAUUUAUUGUGUAGAAAGACAUUUGUCCUAUAUUCUCCUUUACUUAUGGCUCACUUCAAUUUCUUAGCUGAAAUUGAUAGGGUACUACAAAUGUCACUGACCAGAUAGACAGAGGCAAACACAUCAGGUGUGUGUUAUGUUUGUGACAGUCAGCAGCAGGGUGACAUGUCAGUGUGUGGAAUCACGAGAAGCACUGGCACUAUCAACAGUCUGAAACAGCCUCCUACUCAAAGGCUACGUGAUGUGUGCAAGGGCUCCUUUGUCCCUGUCAGCAGUCAACACCAGCAAAGAGGGCACUGCACUUUGCAACAGACACAAAAGUCUUCCACUCAUAAACAUGGGAGGUGAAGAGUGACAGCAGGGGAAGGCACUUCACAGCUGGAAGGUGGGCCAAAGGGCGGAGCUGAAAGGCAAGAAGGGUGGAGAGAUGAAAGAUUGGAGUCUGACUGUUGAAGGUUUUCAGGUGCUUUAUUCUCUGAGGGGACUGGUCUCAAUCAAAAACAUUACGAAAACUGAUUAGUAGAUUGCAUGUGCUUUCUGAAAACAGUUAUGAAAGCCUGGUGAAGGAAGAGGAGAGGGAACGGGGACCUGCAGCUUUGUUCCAUAGGGAAGGAGACACAAAAACAAGCACAACCUAUAAGGCUAAAUGUAGAUAAACACCCUGAUAACAGCUGCUCAGGGGACAGAAGUUGAACUGUGUGCACACAGCUUUCUGUAUGCAUGAGAGAACACAUCUUUGAAGAUGCAGCAGGAAAAGAAAUAGAACAAGAAGUCAUAGUCAGAAGGACACUGAAGUCAGGGGUACAUUCACAGAAAAUAACUCUGAAACCUCUGCAGCAGACAGUUAUAAUAUCUCUGAGCCUAUUCUCUAGUCACUGAAAUCAACCCAAAUUGCAGUGUCAUUACGGAGUUUUGUAGACAGUGUGCUGCUGAGCUGAAUGCAGCUGCAGAGGCAUGCAGCACCUCUCUUCCCUUUGUUCUUCCCUCUUUGGCAGAAGGCUGACCUACAUUCCAGUGGCUCCCACUCGGGUGCCAGCAUCGCCCUGAUCCUACAGUGUGUGGGGGAAGCUGCCCAGGGUGUGGGGGCCAGCCCGGCACGUCCUGCCCCAGCAGACACUGCCAGCCUGUGCUGGGAGCAGCUUCACUGACAGCUCCUCAAUAAAUAAUGAAAGUAGGGGUCAUAUGCGAAGCUAGUAGAGCCUGGGCUCAGGUGUUCCAGGCAGGCCUAGUUACAUGUGAGAACCAUGCCAAUUCUGCAAGAGCAUCAGCAUCCACAUUAAAACCUCUGAAGUUAAAAUACAUUCAGAUAGGCUGCACUCCUGUACUGGCAUUUUCUCUUGAAGUGGCUUACUGUCAUUGCUAAUGAAGAUUUCUCGCAACAAAACAGUUAUAUGGAUUUUCAGAAAAUAAUAGGUGACAAAAUGCUUUUUUAAUGACUUAAAAACUGAUAAAUAUCAGAACAACUCUUCAUGGUGGCUGCUUUGCCAGGACACAAAAAGUGUCCAGAGGUAGCACAAGACUAUAGUAAGGGUUCUUCCUGAGACAAGAGUAAGGGAAAAUUUAUAGCAACAUCUGUAAUAUACCCAAGCCCAAACCUCCUUCAGAGCUCCCUCUGAAAGUCAAAUGCUCGAGGAAGAAGAAAGUACCUGAACGAAGAUGAUCUGCUCAACCAUAAUGCGAUCUGUUCAUGAACAUACAUUACAUACAGUCUGUAACUGCAUGUACGUUUGCAUUCAAAUGAUUACAUUUCAAGUAAAUUUUAAGCAACAGCAAAGGUCUUAAAAUAAGGUUUGUUAGGCAACUGGCCCCAAGUAGAAUGGAAUGCAUCAAACCUGCCAAUGACUUCUAGAGAUGUUUUUGAGUCAGUCGGAGGAGGUGUUGAUUAAACACUAAUGCACCCUCAGAAAUAACACCGCAAUGAGGGGUGCAUAGUGCCUUGAAUGUACAUGAUGCUGCUGCUCAGAAAGUAAAAGACAUCAGCCAAAACACAAAAGGAUAUUUCCUGUUCCAAACUGCUUGUGAACUGGGAGAGAGAGCAACACAAAACGAGGAAAACGGCAAGCACCUAAACUUCAGCAUGGAUGUACUAUUUCUGUCUCUACUUUUAUGCAUAUGCAUGACCACAGAGAAGUGGCACUUACCAUGCUCAUCCAGCAAAAUGUUGUCAGGCUUGAUAUCUCUAAGAAAGAGAAAAGGGAAACAGCCAUUAGCUUACAGAAGUGACAUAAACAAGGCUGCAGAUACUUUAUGAAUACCCAAGCUCUAGAGGGACCUACUUCAAUUAUGCCCUAGAAGGGUUCUUUGCUUGGAUUCUUCAGCUCUAAUGUUUCUGCAAGGUUUGAUUUCAGAUAUGAUUAGAGAACAACUAAUCAAGUAAUAAAAACAGAAAUGAAGGUACAGUCAUAUAACUGUGAAGUGUAACCUAGCUGCUAGCAGCACCUGCAUCUGCAAUACUACAGCUUCUUUUUAUUUUUAUUUUUUUUUCCUUCUUAUUUUGCUUCAGUACUGUAUUGAAAGCUGUUCCCCAUUUAUUCAGUAAAAAUCAAAUGUUGGAGCAAAGUAAACAAGUGGCAUCAAUUUUAGCUAUUGUCCUUACUGCAUCAUUGGAGUCCUUUAGCUGCAGGUGAAACAAUAGAGCAACAUAACAAGGAAAGUGUUUCUGUGUCUAAACAAGGUAUUUCUUCAGUGAUGGAUAAAAGCUUCUGCUAUGAAAGGUGCAAACACAGGAAGGCUCUCGACAAAACACGUUUAUUUGUGGAUGUACUGACCGGCACCGAUCUAAGCCAAACCUACAAAAAGCUGCAGCAGUCACAUCUGGACUUUCUAUGGAAGUGUUUUCACAUUUGCAUCCUGAAUUAAUUUUCUACCACAGAAACAGCUUUUUGAGGAAAAUACCUCAACUACUUUGUGUGAUGGUUUGGAAAUCUCACGGGCACUGUUAUUGAUACUAACUGUAAAACCUUCUUGGCCAGCUAUUAAUGUAUAUUUUUCAUACUCCAUUAUGAAAAAAGUUAUUUUUCAUAGAACAGUGACAUUUGACAUAAAAGUGUUUCUUCUUCUCUAAGCAAAAGGAAGCUAUUUGGAGUAAACUGCUAAUUCUGAGUUUUACAUUCAAAGUUCAACUACUUUUAUUAAUUUUCAUGUAAAAUAAAAACAAACCCCACAAACUUGCCUGAAGCGUUGCCACAAAGCAUUUGGCAGCUCUGUAUGCUUUCCUGUGUUUUUGGUGGUUUGGGAGUAGUAGGGUUUUAGCUAGAGACAUUGAUUCAGUAACUCCGAACCACAUUUGCCAUAAUUCCCAAAAUAGUGCUCUGAAAGGUGCAGAGGGCAGUCCAGAUUGUACCAGCAUCCAUGUUUAGAGAUGCUCCAGUCAGAGAGGCAGACUCACUACAAACCACUGCACCGGGUGGUCACAGGGUGGUAGCAAUAGGGAUAAGAUGGAGAGGAAAAACAGCUCUGAGAGUCACCCCGCUUUGUUUGGAAUUUUAUUUAUUAAUGCUUUUAUUUUCUUCAGGAGUAGAAAAAUAGUCUAUAUUGCUUUUUUAUCUCUUUUUUUUUCCUCAAGGCUAUUAAAAACAACAACAACAAAAAACAAACAAAACCAACAACAACAACACACAGUAGGGAAAUUCGUCACGGCUCCACAUCUACUGUACAUCAGUUACCAAUCUUCGGCAUGUUACUGAUUAUCUCAUGCUUGGGGAAACAGGAAAAAAAUGUGAGGUACAUCAACACUUUUAAAACAAAAAUAUUAAAGUUAAAAAAAAGAGGAUGCACAAAAUACUCUUUGUAUUCUACUGUAUAAACUGAAAUUGACAAAGAAUGUAGCAAUAAGUUAUGCAAAUAGCCACAUCUCUAUAAGGGAAUAAAUGGAAGGCAUAAUUUUAACAAAAUCCAUCUAUCUAUCUAUCUAUGCAUUGUAGAGAAACCCACUUCUUAGUCUGCAAAAACGUAUGGUCUUGUUUCUUCUGUUUCUCACUAGAAAGUAAAAAGACUGGAAACAAGAACGUUUCAUUUUCUUUGAUGAGAGGAAACUUCAAGUGCGUAGCAGACCUGAUCUUAAACAAACCACUUUAACAUUCUUGUUUUAGAAACAAAUGUGUUCCUUGCAGGUUUUCCUCCUUGAUAAAAACAAAACACCAAUAGCAAAAACACCCAUCACAAUGCUGUAAAGAAAUGCUUUCCAUUGAAGGGAGAACAUGUACACCUGAUACACCUGCUGUAUACACCUGAAUGACUUUACAAGCCAUUACCUGCUUUUAAUGAGCUAAUUACAUCAGUGCCCAUCUGCCUGCUAUCAGGCACCUUGCAGUUUCAAGGCACCUUGCAGCUGCCAAAUGCAUCGAGCAGGCACAAGUACAACAGCCCUUCACCCUCCUGAUGCCUUCCUCAGGCCUAGGGGGUCAAUGUGAAGAAUGAGUGGGUUUCAGGUUUUAUCUUUAAAACUCCAAAAGAUAAAGUUUGUAGUCACCUGACCACCUGCAAUCAAGAAAAGACAAUAUAUACAAUUACCACAUAAUAGCUUUCAGCUCUUAUCCAAACCCCUUCCCAUGGGAUACAAACACCAGGUACCACCCCUGUGUUCCCAUCACAUACAGAGUUUUCUUUAGAGCCUGAAUUGUAUGGAUCUUCUAUCCCCUUAGUCCUGGAAAGCUACUGAAUGUAAUGUAUUACUAGUAGAAAAGGAUUUCCUCCUGCUGUUGCCCAUACACCUGUGUCCCACUCAGUUUGUUUAGACCAAGCCUACAGCAAAAGGAUUUACCUUUGGCUGUCCAGGACAAAGGCAGCUUAGUCUGCAUUUCACAAUGUUUAAUUCAUGCUCAUUCAUUAUUUGUUGCCUGGGAGCAGGUGCAGAGUGGAGGAGGCCACAACUGUGCCCUCACCACCACGCACCUGCUUUGUUUUCCAGGUGCCCACAGUGCUCUUGGCUGGAGCCUGAAUGGGGCAGUCAACAUGGCCUGCUUGCCAAGGUCAGAUGCAUCACGGAGUGGAAAUCUAUACAGGUAUGAAAACAAAACAAGAAACAUGAAAAAUAAGACUCCUGAGAAAGUGGGAGAUAUACACAAUAAGGUCUGUCUCAAAUCAAAAUGAGAGAAAAACGUUUUUGGUCCGGUGGGGUUCUCCACAAGUGAGGAGGGCACAUUGUUACAGGAGUACUGAGAUGGUCUUUUUGCUUUCACGUCUCAGAAAUGGCAAGCACAUGCUGCUUUACAGAAGUAAGUGUUAAUCUUCAUCAGCCCUUGAACAGAGCAUUCCUUACCUUGCCAAGGACCACGAUCAUUUCAAUUUUAAAAUUGUGCCAUGCUUUAUUUUUAUGCCUCACAAGAAUGCUCUUUCUGUAAUGCCAUUUAUAAAUACAGUAAUUUUCUGCCUUCCUUUUUUAACCUGUUGCUACUGCCUCCCUGCUUGCAACCCUGUUAGCAAAUACUAAGCCAAAAGACUUGAACCCCUGAGGUCUGCAUCACCUAAUACAUCAGGAGCAGGAAACGUGAGCAUGUCUGUUCAUCUGCUUGGAGCCAAACCUUGCCUUUCAAAUCAGGGAAAAGCUCUAACCUGGCCUGAUAGCUGGUUGUUAUUUUGCCUGAGUAAGCACUGCAGCUUUUGCAUCAUUUUUCUCUUAUCUAUAAAUCCCUACCUAAAAUGUUGUCCACUAUAGGUUUUCCCCUUUGCCACAUUUUCCUAGAGUCCACAGUGACCUGAAACUAGCAUGCACCUAGCAUGUAUGAGUUUGCAAACACUUUUUUUGAGGACACUGACUCACAGAAAAUAAGGGUAUAUAGGAAGAACUGCAGUCCCAAGAACAAUUCUUUGCUGUAGUGAAUCAAUAACUUGAGUUUUGCCUAUUUAUUCAAGCUGCAGAUACAACCCACAGUAAAUGCAGCAUACUAGGUUAUUCUUUUACUUUGAUCAAGACAGUUUUAUAUAGAACAGCAA